rnacentral:rRNA from 1 species
GUGAAAUUGUUGAAAGGGAAACGAUUGAAGCCAGUCGUACCUUCGGGUAAUCAGCCUUUCGGGUGCGAUUAUGUGGAGUGUGAGGAGCUUAAACACCUUCAUGUUUUGCAUAUUCGUACUCUUGGGUGUACUUGCCCGUGUGGUUGGUUAACAUCAAUUUUGGUGGUCAUAAAAUGACUGGAGGAAUGUAGCUUCGAUCUCGUAUUGAAGUGUUAUAGCCGUUGGUAGAUGUAAUGAUUGGGAUUGAGGAUUGCAACGGAUACCCUCUGGGCUAUUCGUCUGAUCUCUGGAAGUUACCUUGGUGUCGAAAGCGUGCUUACGAUAUUAAGGUUGACGGCCAAUAGGUUAGAACGUGAUUAAAUUCGUUAAGGAUGUUGACGUAAUGGCUUUAAACGAC